UACGUAGGGUCCGAGCGUUGUCCGGAUUUAUUGGGCGUAAAGAGCUCGUAGGCGGCUUGCUAAGUCAGGUGUGAAACCUCCAGGCUCAACCUGGAGCCGCCACCUGAUACUGGUAUGGCUAGAGUCCGGUAGGGGACCACGGAAUUCCUGGUGUAGCGGUGAAAUGCGUAGAUAUCAGGAGGAACACCUGCGGUGUAGACGGCUUACUGGACCAUAACUGACGCUGAGGCACGAAAGCGUGGGUAGCAAACAGG
rnacentral:rRNA from 1 species